rnacentral:lncRNA from 1 species
GGGCUUAGCACCAUCUGAAAGGCAGAGAUCAACAUAUAUAGGCCAGUGCCUGCCCUCAGGGACUUUAGCCUGGUGGCAGAGCCCACACAUAUGCAGACAACUAUGCUGCCCUCGGUAAGUGUGAAACAGUGGCCUCCCCAGCCUAUGGCUCAUAUAGCUGAAGGUUGGCAAGUCCGUGGAAGGCCGUGAAAAAUCAGAACCUGCCACGCCUGCUUGAGGGAGAUCAGGAAGGCCACACUUCUUUUUUCUUUUUGGUGGUACUGGGGAUUGAACUCAGGGCCUUGUACAUAUGAGGCAAGCACUCAACUGAGCCAGAUUCUCCAGCCCAGGAAGGUGACAUUUCUGAGGGAGCAAGUGAUAGGCCAAAGGGCAGAGGAGGCAGCUGGGUCCAUGAGCCUUGUAAACAGUUUGGUUUCUGUGUAAGUGUGAGGGAAACGAUCAGAAGGGUUUUAGCACAGAAAAGCAGGGAUGGGAUUUAUGCUACAAACAAACAAAAGAUUCUGGCUGCUGGAUGGAGAACAGGAGCAAGAGGCACCAGAAAGGCCAGAGGUGCUGGGAAGUGUGCUCACACAUUUGAACUCAGUCCUUCCCAGCCCUGUGGGGAACUAUCAUUACCUCACGUUACAGACGAGGAAAGCCAGACUUCGAAAGCUGUCCAGCCGGUCAGGGCUGAGAUUCAGAUCUAGACACCAGCCAUGGAUGUGCCUUCUCUGUGCCCUUUGCAGCUUUGCCUUGCUCUGCUUCUAGGUUCCAGCAGAGAAGGGGGCAGAGGAACUCUCCUCUGAGUGACGGUGGAGGCAGGUGGGUUGAGAGAGCAGGGAGAAGAAUCCCUUGCGAGUAGGUUCAUAGAAACACGGAGGCCAAGUGGGUUCAGUUCCCAGUGAAAGGCAGAAGGUCAAGGGUCAAAUGUUUUCUGUCAUAUGUGGAAGUUUCAGAGAGAGAAAAAAAAAUUUUUAAAUGGGAUCUUAUGAAAAUAGAAGGGAGACUAAUAAAAUAGAGAAGGGGAUAGAUAGGGAGAAGAGGAGGGCAUGGGGAAGUCCUGGGAAAUGGAAUUUGACAAAUACUAUGUCCAUGCACAAAUAUACCACCAUGGACAUAGCUCUUAUAUGUAAUUAUAAUGCACUGAGUAAAAUGGUGCCAGGGAACAAGACUCCUAAAGUACAAGAAAUAAAAUCAAGGAUAAGUGGGAUGGACUCCAACUAAAAAGCUUCUUCUCAGCCAAAGAAACUAUCAGUGAGGUGAAGAGAGAGCCUACAUGUAUCUUGGGAGCAAAUUUUUGCCACACACACAUCAGAUAGAGCACUAAUCUCCAGGACAUAUAAAGAACUUAAAAAACUUAACACUAGAAAACCAAAUAACCCAAUCAAUAAAUGGGCUAAGGAGCUGAAUAGACACUUCUCAGAAGAAGAUAUACAUUCGAUCAACAAAUAUAUGAAAAAAUGUUCAAUAUCUCUAGUAAUUAGAGAAAUGCAAAUCAAAACUAAGGUUUCAUUUCACGCCGUCAGAAUGGCAGUUAUCAAGAACACAAACAACAAUAAGUAUUGGUGAAGAUGUCGGGAAAAAGGCACAUUCAUACAUGGCUGGUGGGACUGCGAAUUGGUGCAACCAAUCUGGAAAGCAGUAUGGAGAUUCCUUAGAAAAUUGGAAUGGAACCACCAUUUGACCCAGCUAUGCCACUCCUGGGUUUAUACCCAGAGGACUUAAAAACAGCAUACUACAGGGACACAGCCACAUCAAUGUUUAUAGCAGCUUAAUUCAUAAUAGCUAAACUGUGGAAGCAAACUAGAUGCCCUUCAGUAGAUGAAUGGAUAAAGAAACUGUGGUAUAUAUACACCUUGGAAUAUUAUUCAGCAUUAAAAGAGAAUAAAAUUAUGGCAUUUGCAGAUAAAUGGACAAAGUUGGAAAAUAUCAUGCUAAGUGAAGUAAGCCAAUCCCAAAAAACCAAAGACCGAAUGUUCUCUUGGAUAAGUGGGUGCUGAUCCAUAAUGGGGAGGGGCAUGAGGAAAAUGGAGUAACUCUGGGCAAAGGGGAGGGACAGGUGGGGAGGAGGCAUGGGGGCAGGAAAGAUGGUGGAAUGAGGUGGACAUCAUUACCCUAGGUACAUGUAUGACUACACCUAUGGUGUAACACUAUGUCAUGUACAACCAGAGAAAUGAAAAGUUGUGCUGCAAUUGUGAAUCAAAAUACAUUCUGCUGUCAUGUAUACCUAAUUUAAAUAAAUAAAUAAAUAAAUAAAAUAAUACCAGGAGCAGGAGGAGGGGAGGGAAAGUGAAGAUAAGGGGAUGAGAGUGAUCAAAUUUUAUGUGCAUGUACAAAUAUAACCCAAUGAUUCCCACUAUUAUGUUUACUUAUCAUGUACCAAUUUUUCUUUAAAAGGCAAGUGACAAAGGAUGUUGACUGAAUUAACACAUCACUAUAGAAAUAAGAGAUGGAAAAUAAAGCACCCAUCAGGUGGUCCCUCUGUGCCU